rnacentral:lncRNA from 10 species
CUUGAACGCGGGAGGUGAAGGUUACAGUGAGCCAAGAUUGCGCUAUUGCACUCCAGCCUGGGGAACAAGAGGGAAACUCCGUCUCAAAAAAAAAGAAAGAAGGGAAGAAAGGGAGAGAGAAAGAGAGAGAGAGAAAGGAAGGGAGGAAGGAAGGAAGAAGAGGAGGGGAAGGAAGGAGGGAGGGAGGGAGAGAAGGAGGGAAGGAAGGAGGGAGGGAGCGAGAGAAGGAGGGAAGGAGGGAGGGAGGGAAGGAGAGACUUUAGCUGGGGCAGGGGUAUUUUACCAGAACUAGCCCAGUAGUGCACAGUGCCACCUAGUAGUGAGCCUGCACCAGAGGGACCUUCCUUCUGGAAAGUGUGUGACUGCAGAGAAGGGGCUGGACCACAACAGGGUAAAACACUCCCUUGGGUGAGCUAUGACAAAGUUUAGCAGCAGAUGCUACACAUUUACAUCCUCUCCGGUUUCUGAGGUCUUGCCUCUCUUAGCUUACAGUUUCCUCUUCUGUACAAUAAGGGCAGCCAGGUGAACAUGAGGUUCCCUUUCUGGACUGUUUCUUUAUAGGGAUCAAAAUCCCCCUCUAAAGCUUCCCCUCAUACUUCCUUUUUUUCUAGCUGCAAGUAAAGAAGAUAAUAAAAUGAAAGUCUUUAUUAUGAAAUGAAAAUUUUGUUCUUUGUUCAGGUUGUAGAAGAAUGCUUAGGUGUAAGAUUUAUUUGGCAGAAGUAUAAAUUGCAUUUGGACUGCAAAAUUAGGUUCUAGAACACGCAACAUACUUAGAAAACAAUAUGAGAGGCUGGGCACAGUGACUCCUAUCAGCUAUAUAAUUUACAAAUAUUUUUUGUGGGUUUUUUUUUGCUUUCAUGAUGGUUUCCUUUGAAGCACAAAUGUUUUUAAUUUUGAUGAUGCCCAAUUUACCUAUUUUUUUCUUUGAUUGCUUGUGCUUUUGGUAUAGUAUCUAAGAAAUCAUCAUCUAAUCCAAAGUCAUAAAAAUGUACACGUAUUUUCUUCAAAGUUUUUUUUAACUUAUAUUUUAGUUUCAGGGGUACAUGUGCAAGUUUGUUAUAUAGGUAAACUGUGUGUCACGAGGGAGACUUUUUUUUUGAGACAGGGUCUCACUCUGUUGCCCAGGCUGGAGUGCAGUAGUAUGAUCAUGGCUCACUGUAGCCUCGACUUUCUGGGCUCAGGCGAUUCCCCCACCUCAGCCUCUCGAGUAUGAGUCCUCCCAACUUGUUAUUAUUGUUUCAAGACUGAAAAAAAAAAGAGGUUCUGUGAUAUCUCGCAUAAUUUUAGCAUCAGCUUAUACUGCAAAGAAGUCACCUGGGAAAUGGAUAAGGAUUGCAUUGGAUCUGCAGAUCAAUUUGAGGAGCACUGCCAUCUUUACAAUAUGAAGUCUCCAGUGCCCACUCUUUCUCACUUUCUCUCUCUGAUCUGACUGUUCAUCUCCACCAGCUUCUUCCCACUCCUGCCCACUUUAGCUUGCUCCAGGAAAUUAAAAAUUUGUCUUUCUUUUUUGUAGAGACCAGGUCUCACUGUGUUGCCCAGGUUGGUCUUGAACUCCUGGGCUCAAACAAUCCUCCUGCCUCAGACUUCUAAAGUAUUGGGAUUACAGGCAUGAGUGACUGUGCUCAGUUACUAAAAUUCAUCUUUCUUUCUUUUCUUUUUUUCUUUUUGAGACGGAGCUCACUCUGUUGACAGGCUGGAGUGCUGUGGCACGAUCUCAGCUCACUGCAACCUCCGCCUCCUGGGUUCAAGCGAUUCUCCUGCCUCAGCCUCCCAAGUAGCUGAGAUUACAGGCAUGCACCACCGCACCCAGCUAAUUUUUGUAUUUUUAGUAGAGAUGGGGUUUCACCAUGUUGCCCAAGAUAGUCUCGAUCUCCUGACCUUGUGAUCUGCUCACCUCAGCCUCCCAAAGUGCUGGGAUUACAGGCAUGAGCCACUGCGCUUGGCCAUCUUUCUUUAUUUUGAAGAGAAAUGCUGUAUUACUUAUCUUACUCUAACCCGGGCCUGCUCUAAGCUCUAGAUUGCUACAACCAUGAGAGCCUAUGAAGUAUUUGGCCCAGCAAAGAGAGUGCACUUUCUGAGGAUUUCUGCCUCCAGCUUUUCAAAGGAACACCUCUUUCUCCCUAUUCCAUAUGCGUAACUCUCACAUAGUUGUAAUCACAGGUUUGCUUUUUUUUUGAGACGGAGUUUCACUCUUGUUGCCCAGACUGGAGUGCAAUGGCGUGACCUUGCCUCACUGCAACCUCUGCCUCCCAGGUUCAAGCAAUUCUCCUGCUCUGCCUCCCGAGCAGCUGGAAUUACAGGCACCCACCACCACGCCUGGCUAAUUUUUUUGUAUUUUUAGUAGAGACAGGGUUUCAGUAUGUUGGCCAGACUGGUCUCAAACUCCUGACUUCGUGAUCGGCCCACCUCGGCCUCCCAAAGUGCUGGGAUUACAGGCGUGAGCCACCACGCCUGGCCUGUAAUCACAGUUUAUGUACACACAAAUUUGUGUUCUACUUUGAUUUGAUGUUAUUUUACCAAAUAUAUAUACAUAUAAAUUUGUUAUACUCUCUUUUUUAUUUGAUGUUGUUGCAUGAGUUUUCUCAUCAUGAGUCUUAUCUUUAAAAACUAUAUAAUUCCAUCAUGUAGAGAUGGCAUAAUUGGCUUAAUCAUUUCUCUACUGUUAAACAUUUGAGACAUUCCUUUAAUUUUUUAUUUAGUAUGGGGAAAAACUAUUAUAAAAUAUUCUAAAAUAAAUAAAAUUUCUUUUCCUUCAAAUUAUUUUUCUGAAAAUAAACCCCU